ACAGUUGGAAACGACUGCUAAUACCGCAUAAGCCCACGGCUCGGCAUCGAGCAGAGGGAAAAGGAGCAAUCCGCUUUGAGAUGGCCUCGCGUCCGAUUAGCUAGUUGGUGAGGUAAUGGCCCACCAAACCGACGAUCAGUAGCCGGCCUGAGAGGGCGACCGGCCACAUUGGGACUGAGACACGGCCCAAACUCCUACGGGAGGCAGCAGUGGGGAAUAUUGCACAAUGGGGGAAACCCUGAUGCAGCGACGCCGCGUGAGCGAAGAAGUAUUUCGGUAUGUAAAGCUCUAUCAGCAGGGAAGAUAAUGACGGUACCUGACUAAGAAGCCCCGGCUAACUACGUGCCAGCAGCCGCGGUAAUACGUAGGGGGCAAGCGUUAUCCGGAUUUACUGGGUGUAAAGGGAGCGUAGACGGCAAGGCAAGUCUGAUGUGAAAACCCAGGGCUUAACCCUGGGACUGCAUUGGAAACUGUCUGGCUCGAGUGCCGGAGAGGUAAGCGGAAUUCCUAGUGUAGCGGUGAAAUGCGUAGAUAUUAGGAAGAACACCAGUGGCGAAG
rnacentral:rRNA from 1 species